GACAAGAGAGAGGUUUUCUGCUUCUCAGGCUAUCUCACAACAGUGUCUACUGGGGAAAUGACGACGUCGUUUUCUCUAUCCUUCCUAUCCUCACUCCUUCCAUCUCCUCUAUCCGACUCCUCCUCCGGCGCCGGCGCCGGCGCCACCAGGAUUAGCACUGCCAGGCAUCACCCGUUCUUUAUCCGAUGCGCUACUUCUUCUUCUGCGGUGGUUUCGCCGAAGAAAAGGCAUUGGAAGCAAGGGGAAUUCCCAGCAGGUAUUCAAACUUCAGACUCCGACAGGAAAAGAACGCCCAUCAAGAACAUCAAGAAGAAAUUGAAUAAAAGGAGCAAAGCCAAGGCAUGGGCCAACACUGUCACUGAAGAGCUCUCCGACUGCAUCCACUAUAAGCAGUGGUUCCAAGCUCUUCAGGUUUUUGAGAUGCUAAGGGAGCAACCUUUUUAUCAACCAAAGCAAGGAGCAUACAUGAGGCUUCUCGUUCUUCUUGGACGAUGCGGGCAGCCAAGUCAAGCUCAGAAACUAUUUAACACGAUGGUUGAAGAGGGCUUGGAACCCACCACAGAGCUCUACACAGCCUUGGUUGCUGCAUACUGUAGAAGCAAUCUGAUUGACAAGGGGCUUGCGGUUCUUCAAGAGAUGACCGCACUGCCUCUUUGUCAACCUGAUGUUCAUACAUAUAGUAUAUUGAUAAAGGCCUGUGUUGAUGGUUCUCGGUUUGAUCUGGUUGAGUCCCUUUAUCGAGAAAUGGAUGAACGUUCCAUAACUCCAAAUACAGUCACUCAAAACAUAGUCUUGAGUGGUUAUGGGAAGGCAGGGAGAUACGAAGAGAUGGAGAAGGUGCUCUUGGGGAUGCUUGAGAGUGAAACAUGCAGACCUGAUAUAUGGAGCAUGAAUAUCAUUCUGAGCUUAUUUGGCAACAAGGGCCAGAUUGAAAUGAUGGAGAAGUGGUAUGAAAAGUUUCGCGAUUUUGGGAUUGAUCCAGAGACACGAACAUUCAAUAUUCUUAUUGGCUCUUAUGGGAAAAAGAGGAUGUAUGAUAAGAUGUCAUCGGUGAUGGAGUACAUGCGUAAACUUUCAUUCCCCUGGACAACAUCAACCUACAACAAUGUAAUCGAGGCUUUUGCAGAUGUGGGUGAUGCAAAGCACAUGGAGUACACCUUUGAUCAAAUGCGUACUGAGGGGAUGAAAACCGACACCAAGACCUUCUGCUGUCUCAUUAGAGGGUAUGCAAAUGCUGGUCUUUUUCAUAAGGUAAUUAGCACUGUUCAGUUGGCUGGGAAAUCGGAAAUCCCUGAAAACACGUCCUUCUAUAAUGCUGUUCUAUACGCUUGUGCAAAGGCAGAGGAUAUAAUGGAGAUGGAGAGAGUUUUCAAGAGAAUGAAAGACAAACAAUGCCAACUCGAUACCAUAACAUACUCUACCAUGAUUGAUGUAUACAGAAAAGAGGGUAUGACAGAUAAGAUAUAUGAAUUGGAGCAGGAAAUGCAGAUGAUAGUUGCUCCUAGUUCUACUGGCAACGAUUCUGAAGAAGCAGAGAGUAUUGCUAAUGUAGAACUGUGAAGUCAUUUCCUUCAUUUGCCACCCAAGUUUUGUACAGAAACAUUGAAGAUGUUGUUGGCUUUCUUUAUCUUUGAGUUCGAGGGAGGGGCUCUUUUCAAUAGACAAGUCUCCCUCAGUAAAUUAGUUUGAAGUGUUGAGGUAUCGGUAGGAAUUUUUUACAAGUUAGCAUUCUGUGACGUUCAUACAAGAAUUAAGAUUUGCAGGAGGUCAUUUUUGGCCUACGUGAACUGAUUUUUUUCCAGGAGAAUGGUGUCCUAAUGGCUAGUUUAUGGAGUAAAGGUACCUUGAGAGAUUGUUUUAUCCAAGAAAGAGCUAAUAGCAAGGUGGACUAAGAAACUUGUGUUCAUAGCACUCCUCUUCAGGUAACCUUUGCAGGACCCCUGAAGUGAUGAACAUGGCUAACUCGUAGACUUUCUUUUGUGUUGCCGGAAAUUGGUUGGAAGCUCGCCAGAGUUGGUCGGAACCUUAAAUAACCUGUAAUCAUAGGUCAUCAACAGAUUUUUGGACUUCAAUACUCGAAAAUAACAUAUUUAUGGAUUUAAUUGUAAUUUUUGAAAGUUUAAGGGCUUAAUUGAUUUUUUGA